rnacentral:rRNA from 1 species
ACGCUCGACACCUACGGGAAGCAGCAGUCGGGAAUAUUGCGCAAUGGAGGAAACUCUGACGCAGUGACGCCGCGUAUAGGAAGAAGGUUUUCGGAUUGUAAACUAUUGUCGUUAGGGAAGAAAAAAGACAGUACCUAAGGAGGAAGCUCCGGCUAACUACGUGCCAGCAGCAGCGUAUCNGAGGCGGGGCGUGGACGAAGGC